AAAACGGUCCUUCUCAGGACCAAAUGAUCACUUUAGUAAAGGGUCU
rfam:Stegodyphus mimosarum contig48730, whole genome shotgun sequence.